UACGAAGGGGGCUAGCGUUGCUCGGAAUCACUGGGCGUAAAGGGUGCGUAGGCGGGUCUUUUAAGUCAGGGGUGAAAUCCUGGAGCUCAACUCCAGAACUGCCUUUGAUACUGAGGAUCUUGAGUUCGGGAGAGGUGAGUGGAACUGCGAGUGUAGAGGUGAAAUUCGUAGAUAUUAGGAAGAACACCGGUGGCGAAGGCGGCCCACUGGUCCGGUACUGACGCUGAGGUGCGAAAGCGUGGGGAGCAAACAGG
rnacentral:rRNA from 1 species